rnacentral:rRNA from 1 species
GAUCCUGGCUCAGGAUGAACGCUGGCGGCGUGCUUAACACAUGCAAGUCGAACGAUUAACCCGCCUUCGGGCGGUCAUAGAGUGGCGAACGGGUGAGUAACACGUGACCGACCUGCCCCCCGCACCGGGACAACCGCUGGAAACGGCGGCUAAUACCGGAUACUCCGGACGGACCGCAUGGCCCGCCCGGGAAAGCCCAGGCGGCGGGGGAUGGGGUCGCGGCCCAUCAGGUAGUAGGCGGGGCGACGGCCCACCUAGCCGACGACGGGUAGCCGGGUUGAGAGACCGACCGGCCACAUUGGGACUGAGAUACGGCCCAGACUCCUACGGGAGGCAGCAGUGGGGAAUUUUGCGCAAUGGGGGCAACCCUGACGCAGCAACGCCGCGUGCGGGACGAAGGCCUUCGGGUUGUAAACCGCUUUCAGCAGGGAAGACAUCGACGGUACCUGCAGAAGAAGCCCCGGCUAAAUACGUGCCAGCAGCCGC